rnacentral:rRNA from 1 species
AACGAACGCUGGCGGCAGGCCUAACACAUGCAAGUCGAGCGCCCUUUCGGGGGAGCGGCGGACGGGUGAGUAACGCGUGGGAAUAUGCCCUUCUCUACGGAAUAGCCUCGGGAAACUGAGAGUAAUACCGUAUACGCCCUGUGGGGGAAAGAUUUAUCGGGGAAGGAUUAGCCCGCGUUGGAUUAGGUAGUUGGUGGGGUAAUGGCCUACCAAGCCGACGCUCCAUAGCUGGUUUGAGAGGAUGAUCAGCCACACUGGGACUGAGACACGGCCCAGUCUCAUACGGGGGGCAGCAGUGGGGAAUCUUAGACAAUGGGGGCAACCCUGAUCUAGCCAUGCCGCGUGAGUGAUGAAGGCCUUAGGGUUGUAAAGCUCUUUCAGCGGGGAAGAUAAUGACGGUACCAGCAGAAGAAGCCCCGGCUAACUCCGUGCCAGCAGCCGCCGUAA